rnacentral:rRNA from 1 species
GUUAAACCGGAGGAAGGUGGGAUGACGUCAAGUCCUCAUGGCCUUUAUGCUUAGGGCUACACACGUGCUACAAUGGGUGGUACGAAAGAGAAAGCCAACUCGCGAGAGCGCGCCAAUCUCAAAAAGCCAUCCUCAGUUCGGAUUGGAGUCUGCAACUCGACUCCAUGAAGUUGGAAUCGCUAGUAAUCGCGGAUCAGCAUGCCGCGGUGAAUACGUUCCCGGGCCUU